GACGAACCGUGCGAACGUUGUUCGGAAUCACUGGGCUUAAAGGGCGCGUAGGCGGGCUGCCAAGUCCGGGGUGAAAGCCCCCCCGCUCAACGGGGGGAACGGCCUUGGAUACUGGCGGCCUGGAGGAAGGUAGGGGCAGAUGGAACUCUCGGUGGAGCGGUGAAAUGCGUAGAUAUCGGGAGGAACGCCGGUGGCGAAAGCGAUCGUGCUGGACCUUUUCUGACGCUGAGGCGCGAAAGCCAGGGGAGCAAACGGG
rnacentral:rRNA from 1 species